rnacentral:rRNA from 1 species
AUUGAACGCUGGCGGCAGGCCUAACACAUGCAAGUCGAACGAGUGGCGGACGGGUGAGUAAUGUCUGGGAAACUGCCCGAUGGAGGGGGAUAACUACUGGAAACGGUAGCUCAUACCGCAUACCAUCGGAUGUGCCCCGUUGGGACUAGCUAGUCGGUGGGGUAACGGCUCACCUAGGCGACGAGCCCUAGCUGGUCUGAGAGGAUGACCAGCCACACUGGAACGUAGACACGGUCCAGACUCCUACGGGAGGCAGGAGUGGGGAAUAUUGCACAAUGGGGGCAAGCCUGAUGCAGCCAUGCCGCGUGUAUGAAGAAGGCCUUCGGGUUGUAAAGUACUUUCAGCGAGGAGGCGUUACUCGCAGAAGAAGCACCGGCUAACUCCGUGCCAGCAGCCGCGGUAAUUC